rnacentral:rRNA from 1 species
UGGGGGAUAUUGCACAAUGGGCGAAAGCCUGAUGCAGCGACGCCGCGUGGGGGAUGAAGGCCUUCGGGUUGUAAACUUCUUUUGCUCUGAACAAGGCAUGCUUUUGGGGUGUGUUGAGUGUAGGGGUUGAUUAGCGCCGGCUAACUACGUGCCAGCAGCCGCGGUAAUACGUAGGGCGCGAGCGUUGUCCGGAAUUAUUUGGCGUAAAGGGCUUGUAGGUGGCUGGUUGCGUCUGUCGUGAAAGCUCAUGGCUUAACUGUGGGUUUGCGGUGGGUACGGGCUGGCUUGAGUGCAGUAGGGGAGGCUGGAAUUCCUGGUGUAGCGGUGGAAUGCGCAGAUAUCAGGAGGAAUACCGGUGGCGAAGGCGGGUCUCUGGGCUGUUACUGACGCUGAGGAGCGAAAGCGUGGGGAGCGAACAGG